AAGGUCUUAACUCUUAAUUAUAUUUAUAGAUAAGAAAUAAUACUCAGAGACGAGUCCUUUUGCUGCAGGCCAUGGCGGGUGGAGAUUUAUUACAUUGUUCCACAGAUCAUCUUACAGUACAAAGUCAAAACUCCCCCAAAUCUCUCCGUAUUCUUAGAGUCAUUCUGUUUUAUAGAAUCUCAUUUUCACUGGUGUAAGUUGGUAAGUUUUGACCAACAGCAUUACUGCCCGUGUUUGACGUGUGUCCUUACGUAAGAAAUCCAUCAGCUUUUAAAUGAGUGUGUAUUGGAGUUUCUUUGGGCAUAUUCAGACCUAUUGAUCUCCAACAUCUGCUCCGUUUCAAAAGUGCUAAACAAGCCAAUUAUUAUUCUUAUCUAUCCAAACAGUUUAUUUCCCAGACAUUCUUUCCGUCUCUCUUUGGCUUUGCACGCCAGAGAAGUUGGGAGGCCAAGUCAGAUUGACCUUUCAUGGCGCCAGAUUUCCUCAGUAAAAAACAACUCCAGAAAGAGUAUUUCCGCUUCUUCAGAUUGACCCAGUCCAUUUGACACAAUACAUUUCUUUUAGGUUAAAACAUAUCUUAGUGCGAACCCACCAAACAACAUAAUUUUUAACUAUUAAUAUAAUUAUAUUCCUCUACAUAUCCCCCCUAAAAUAAGUACACGUAUUUUCUAAUUAGGAAUGAUUUUCUUAAAGAGGAUUGUAUGGGUAGAAGUCUACUUAUGAACCAGUGAAGAUAAAAUUUUAUCUUACAGUGAAUGUAUAAUUACAGUGCAUUGCUCUCCCAUGGCCAACAGUUCCACCUGUAUAGGAUUGAAAAACCCUGUCUGUGCUUCUUUCGUUCACGGGAAAUAAUUAUCCUAUGGUCCCAAAGGAAACCACCCGCAGGCACAAAUGGAACUGCGGACCACAGUACCCGCAAUGAUUUUCACCCAACAUCAUCAUUGGUCAUAUUGGCAAGAAUUUAACAAGUAGAGAUAAGC